rnacentral:lncRNA from 1 species
UCCUGCGACCGCUUCCUUUCAAUAUCUGCAAGUAAAUUGGGACUGAGCUGGGACUGAGGUAGCCACCGUUCUUUUCGCUUCACAACAUUAUCGAUUUUCUUCUCUAUCUCGGUAAUCUCCUCAGCGAUUUGACUGAAAACUGUGAUGUAGUGAGCUUUGGUGAAGAUCUUUUUCACCCUAUUUUCUUCCUCCAAUUUAAGAGCAUGGUAUGAAUAUUUGUCAAUGACAUCCUCAACAUGGUGGGCUAGCUCCCGCACCUCUGCAAUCCAACCCUUCACAAGCUCAUUGGUGAGGCUUGG